rnacentral:rRNA from 1 species
AACGAACGCUGGCGGCGUGCUUAACACAUGCAAGUCGCGCGCGAAAGGGCUUCGGCUUGAGUAGAGCGGCGCACGGGUGAGUAACACGUGAGUAACCUACCCUCUGGCGGGGGAAUAAUCGGUCGAAAGAUCGUCUAAUACCGCAUAAGACCACGGGAACUUUGGUUCCAGGGGUUAAAGAUGGCCUCUAUAUAUAUGCUAUCACCAGAAGAUGGGCUCGCGGCGCAUCAGCUAGUUGGUGAGGUAACGGCUCACCAAGGCGUAGACGCGUAGCUGGUCUGAGAGGAUGAUCAGCCACACCGGUACUGAGACACGGACCGGACACCUACGGGUGGCAGCAGUGGGGAAUAUUGGACAAUGGGCGCAAGCCUGAUCCAGCAACGCCGCGUGAGUGACGAAGGCUUUCGGGUCGUAAAGCUCUGUGGGGAGAAACGAAUAGGCUCCGUGCUAAUCAGCGGGGAAUUGACGGUAUCUCCUUAGCAAGCACCGGCUAACUACGUGCCAGCAGCCGCGGUAA